UUUGUACGAAAGGACUAUUGAAUAAAAAAAGUUUUUCUAUUAGAG
rnacentral:tRNA from 1 species